rnacentral:rRNA from 1 species
GUGCCAGCAGCCGCGGUAAUUCCAGCUCCAAUAGCGUAUAUUAAAGUUGUUGCAGUUAAAAAGCUCGUAGUUGAACCUUGGGCCUGGCUGGCCGGUCCGCCUCACCGCGUGUACUGGUCCGGCCGGGCCUUUCCUUCUGGGGAACCUCAUGCCCUUCACUGGGCGUGUUGGGGAACCAGGACUUUUACUUUGAAAAAAUUAGAGUGUUCAAAGCAGGCCUUUGCUCGAAUACAUUAGCAUGGAAUAAUAGAAUAGGACGUGUGGUUCUAUUUUGUUGGUUUCUAGGACCGCCGUAAUGAUUAAUAGGGAUAGUCGGGGGCAUCAGUAUUCAAUCGUCAGAGGUGAAAUUCUUGGAUUGAUUGAAGACUAACUACUGCGAAAGCAUUUGCCAAGGAUGUUUUCAUUAAUCAGUGAACGAAAGUUAGGGGAUCGAAGACGAUCAGAUACCGUCGUAGUCUUAACCAUAAACUAUGCCGACUAGGGAUCGGACGGUGUUAGUAUUUUGACCCGUUCGGCACCUUACGAGAAAUCAAAGUUUUUGGGUUCUGGGGGGAGUAUGGUCGCAAGGCUGAAACUUAAAGAAAUUGACGGAAGGGCACCACCAGGCGUGAGCCUGCGGCUUAAUUUGACUCAACACGGGGAAACUCACCAGGUCCAGACACAAUAAGGAUUGACAGAUUGAGAGCUCUUUCUUGAUUUGUGGGUGGUGUGCAUGGCCGUUCUUAGUGUGAGUGAUUUGUCUGCUAUGCGAUACGACGAGACUUACCUGCUAAAUAGCAGGCCCGCUUUGGCGGGUCGCCGGCUUCUUAGGAGGACUUAUCG